rnacentral:tRNA from 1 species
GGAGGUGUGCCUGAGAAAGGACUACAUUGAUAAAGUAGACACGGAGCCAUACCUCCCACCUCCCACUUUCC